rnacentral:tRNA from 1 species
UAAAAAGGUAAGCUAAAAAAGCUAGUGGGUUCAUACCCCGCCUAUAGAUUAUCUGAAGUCUUCUUUUUA